rnacentral:rRNA from 1 species
AAUGAACGCUGGCGGCAGGCCUAAACACAUGCAAGUCGAGCGAAGUCUUCGGACUUAGCGGCGGACGGUGAGUAACGCGUGGGAACAUACCCUUUGGUACGGAAUAGCCUCGGGAAAACUGGGAGUAAUACCGUAUGUGCCCUUCGGGGGGAAAAGAUUUUAUCGCCAAAAGGAUUUGGCCCGCGUUGGAUUAGGUAGUUGGUGGGGUAAUGGCCUACCAAGCCGACGAUCCAUAGCUGGUUUGAGAGGAUGAUCAGCCACACUGGGACUGAGACACGGCCCAGACUCC